rnacentral:rRNA from 1 species
GACGAACGCUGGCGGCGUGCUUAACACAUGCAAGUCGAACGGUAAGGCCCCUUCGGGGGUACACGAGUGGCGAACGGGUGAGUAACACGUGGGUAAUCUGCCCUGCACUUCGGGAUAAGCCUGGGAAACCGGGUCUAAUACCGGAUAUGAACUCCUGCCGCAUGGUGGGGGUUGGAAAGUUUUUCGGUGCAGGAUGAGCCCGCGGCCUAUCAGCUUGUUGGUGGGGUAAUGGCCUACCAAGGCGACGACGGGUAGCCGGCCUGAGAGGGUGACCGGCCACACUGGGACUGAGACACGGCCCAGACUCCUACGGGAGGCAGCAGUGGGGAAUAUUGCACAAUGGGCGAAAGCCUGAUGCAGCGACGCCGCGUGGGGGAUGACGGUCUCCGGAUUGUAAACCCCUUUCAGUGGGGACGAAGCGCAAGUGACGGUACCUGCAGAAGAAGCACCGGCUAACUACGUGCCAGCCGCCGCGGUAA